UCGCCGCGUUCGCCCAGGCGCGCGCGAUGUCGACGCGCAACGACGAGCCGGGGCGGGCGUCGCGCCCGUUCGACGCGGCCCGCGACGGG
rnacentral:tRNA from 2 species